rnacentral:lncRNA from 1 species
CUGUUCUCAUUAUUAAUCUGCACUAACCAGUUUCAAUCAAUUCCCAACAGUGAAUUGCUAUCUAAAGGCUCAUGAUGACCCUGUUCAACUUGCAAAUCAGGUAUGUUUAAGUUCCCGACAGUAACAAACUCUGCUAACAAUUCAAUUCCAUAGUUUGGGUAAGUUAAUAUCCAUCUUAAUGAAGCUGAACAAGUACUGAAUUAAGAAAUCUAAAAACCCAACUUUCUUUUUGAGCCAUGAGAGAGCGAUAAGGACAAGAUUUACCCUCUCACUGAAAUAACUAAAAAACCAUAAAAAAUGCAUGAAAGCAUAAUUUUCAGAUUUCAGACAACAGGCAGUUCAGGACAGUAUCCUGCAGAGAAAGGAAACAUACAAAGUGAACCUACUAUUCCCUGCUUUCUGACUGGAGACCAGAAGAAAUAGAAGAAAUAGAAUGCAGAAGAUAGGAGAUUUAAAGAUCUGCAGAGCUCCUCUCACAUCUUCAGGACCCAGGCUGAAAGACCUGCAGGCUCAUGCAAGAGGGCAGAAACACAAGAGGACUGGUAGGAAGUACAAUGUCUCUAAGAGCCUCUCAUAUGCCAAUGCUAGUCACAUGGCCAAGCCAAAAUCAGUGGGACAAGAAGCAUAUCCACCUACAGAGAAAGAGGGAACGAAUACUUGUGAACAAUUAUAUCAUUUACUACUAAAAAGGGGGAAGAAGGAAAUCCAAUUUUACAUUUCUGCUUCAUUCUUGGGAAAAACAAUAAAAACGUGACAUUGACCUUCACCAUGAAGUACUUCAAAAGGUCUGAAUGGAUACAGUGCUAUGGAAAUGCCAAUUCUUCCACGGGGCAGAUUGUCACCUGUCUGGACAGCACACUUUAAAGGAAUAUAUUGUUCUGAAAUGCCACCUUUCACCUCUAUUGUCAAUUCUGAAUAUUUGUUGCCCUCAGAAAUGAAAACACACCCGUGAAGGAAUUCUGAUUUAUCCAUUCAUCUUAUCAGUAAUGGAUUUGUGAUAGGAACCUGGCUGGAGUUCAGCAAAAGCAAGGCUCCUCUUCAGCUCCUAAAAGGCCAGGCGGAAAGCCCAGGAGAACAGUGCAUUCUCUGGUUCUCUACUCUGCACCGCGCUGUGAUUCAUGUCACCCCAUGUUAUAUAUAAGAUGCAAACACAGAGCAAAAGACCUUACAGGAUUUGAUCUGUGUCUUAAAAUGUGGCUUAUACUUUGAUAGCAGAUGGCAGGGAAGGACAUUCUAAGUAGAAAGGAUACCUUGAGUAAAAGCCUAGAGGAAUAAGAAAGCAGGAUAUUAUCUUGAAAGAGAAUUAGACUGUUAUAGCUGGAACACAUGGUGCAGGGCAGCUGUAAGUUUAUAUGGAUGGGCAAAGGAAAUAGAAUAGCUGUUCUGAAAAAGAAAAACAAAAU